GGCCUCUGGGCUGGGAGCUUCACGCCCUGAUGUACGGCUGCAGCUGCUCUCACUCUCAACCCCUUCUCAGCAGCUCUGCCUCAAGUUGCCACAUGCCACGCUCCUUGGACUUACCAGUCUUUCUGAAAAGCUGAUGGGAUGACAACAUCCUCACCAACGUGAGCAUUCCCAGGUCUAAGUCCUUCCCCAGGUUGUAGUGGGUUCUCUGCAAACGUAGCCCCACACGGUUGCGCCCACAUGAGCCAUCGCUGGAGACGUCUGCUCCUCCCACUCAACCCUGUCCCCAUCUGGGGCCUCUUUCCCUCUCCUCUGAGUCUCAGCUGAGCGGGACCAGCAAACAUGCUGCUGCUGGCAGCACUUGUGGCCACCGCUGCUUGGUAUGAUGUAUUUGCACAGGAAAUUCCCAUACAGACCCCUAUAUCCAUCACUAAGUUCAAGAAAACUGCACGGAUGUAUUGUGAAAUCAAAAACUUACCAACAAGUUUUGAUAGUACUGUCAUACACUGGUAUAAGCGGAAGGAGAAUGAAGCUCCAGAGAGGCUACUGUUCUUUGCAGAAGGGAGUACUUCUGUGGAAAAUGGCUUUCAAAAAGACAGGUACAGAGCUGAAAGGGUUUCUGACCAGAAUCGGUGUGUCCUCAUGAUAAAGGAUGUCAUUCCAGACGAUGCUGGCAUGUACUACUGCGCCUACUGGGACCCUCACAAUGGUAGAAUCUCAUAGACCAUCAAGGCACAAAACUCCCCCAACAUCUGAACCACAGGUUUGUAACUUCCUCACUCCCCCAGUCUUCUCACUCCAUCUGGUAUCAGCUGCAGAAAGGCCAAACCCUUGUCUGCCUCCCAGAAUGAGCAGCU